GGGCUGGGCUCAGAGCAGUGGGCGUGCUGGUGGCUCACCUGCUGAAAGGCAGCCAACAGGAAUCAGGUCAUGGCGAGGAGGGGCAGCAAACCUGUGGCCUCCGUAGGAGCUCCUGACCUGUCGUGC